rnacentral:ncRNA from 2 species
UUUUUCACCAGGGGGAGGCCUCUUAGGCCUGAGAUGUCGGUGUACCGACAGACCCUUUGAACCUGAUCCGGCUCGUACCGGCGUAGGGAUGGUGCUCUGCCAUAAC